GAGGCUGGGGAGGAGGAGGACAUGAGCCCAGCAUCACAUGGAAUCACGACUGGAUGCAGCUGGCUUUCUGUGCUCUACCUGCUUACGGCUUUUUAAUCACAAGUGAGGAAAGCUUAUUUUGAAGACGUGAUAUACUCCUCAUGUGACAUACUCAGGGGCUGAGUCCAUCUCCAAGGUAGCCUGGACGCCUCUGAAGUUGCAGCUGGGAGACCGGCAUUUGGUCCAGAUGCUAAGCCAACCCGAGCCUCAGGUCUCUGUUUUCUUACACGACGAGCUCUGUCAGCUCUCAGUUACCAAAGCUGGUUCCAAGUACCUCCCAAAAGACUGGACCUCAACACCUCUGUAUUCUUCCUAGGAUGCUGCCUGUUUAGUCUCUCACUGACUAUCUCCAGCGUGUGGCCAAGUGAUUUGGAGGCGGCCCAAAGAGGUCAAAUUUUGAAGUUGAGAGUAGCCGCCUGUAUGACUUUGGAAAUGUUACUUACUCACCUAAAGUCCUGUGUCAUCUUUAACAUGAGUUCAACAACCAUUGAGUUUCUA